rnacentral:rRNA from 1 species
AGUGAACGCUGGCGGCAGGCCUAAUACAUGCAAGUCGAACGGCAGCACAGCAGAGCUUGCUCUGUGUGUGGCGAGUGGCGGACGGGUGAGGAAUACAUGGGAAUCUGCCCAGUCGUGGGGGAUAACGUAUGGAAACGUACGCUAAUACCGCAUGCGCCCUUUGGGGGAAAGCCGGGGACCUUCGGGCCUGGCGCGAUUGGAUGAGCCCAGGUUCGAUUAGCUAGUUGGCGGGGUAAAGGCCCACCAAGGCGGCGAUCGAUAGCUGGUGUGAGAGGAUGGUCAGCCACACUGGGACUGAGACACGGCCCAGACGCCUACGGGAGGCAGCAGUAGGGAAUAUUGGACAAUGGGCGCAAGCCUGAUCCAGCCGUGCCGCGUGGGGGAAGAAGGCCCUCGGGUUGUAAAGCUCCUUUGUCCGGAAAGAAAAGCAUUCGGUUAAUACCCGGGUGUUCUGACGGUACCGGAAGAAUAAGCACCGGCUAACUUCGUG